GCCCCUAUAGCUCAAUGGUAGAGCAGCGGCCUCUUAAGCCGUUGGUUGUAGGUUCGAAUCCUACUGGGGGCA
rnacentral:tRNA from 1 species